rnacentral:rRNA from 1 species
UAAGCGGAGGAGAAGAAACUAACCAGGAUUUCCCUAGUAACGGCGAGCGAACCGGAAAGAGCCCAGCUUGAAAAUCGUGGUGCCUCGCAUCUCGAAUUGUAGUCUGGAGAAGGUCCCUCUGCGACGCGCCGGACCCAAGUUCCCUGGAAAGGGACGUCAUCGAGGGUGACAACCCCGUCCGCGCCCGGAACGCGUCGCUCCACGAGGACCUGUCUGCGAGUCGGGCUGUUUGGGAAUGCAGCCCUAAGCGGGAGGUAAAUUCCUUCCAAGGCUAAAUAUGGGCAAGAGACCGAUAGCGAACAAGUACCGCGAGGGAAAGAUGAAAAGGACUUUGAAAAGAGAGUUAAAAAGUGCUUGAAAUUGCUGGGAGGGAAGCGAAUGGAAGCUGCGGGUGCGCCCCGGUUGGAUGUGGAACGGCUUCGGCUGGUCCGCCGCUCAACGCGGGGCGCUGGUCAGCGUGGGCCACGGCGCCGGGACAAGAGCGGGGAUUCGCUUCCCGCCUAUGCCGGUGCGGUGGCCGAGGCACGAAGCGCGCGCCGCAAGGCGUGGGUUCGCCCAACUGCGCGCUCGGGACGCUGGCGUAUUGAGCUCUUCAUCCGACCCGUCUUGAAACACGGACCAAGGAGUCUAACAUGUAUGCGAGCCGGUGGGCGGCAAACCCAUUGAGGCGCAAGUAAACUGACAGGUGGGACCCCGACCGUGAGGGAGGGAGCACCAUCGACCGACCGUGAUCUUCUGUGAAAGGUUUGAGUGUGAGCAUACCUGUUGGGACCCGAAAGAUGGUGAACUAUGCCUGAGCAGGGCGAAGCCAGAGGAAACUCUGGUGGAGGCUCGUAGCGAUACUGACGUGCAAAUCGUUCGUCAGACUUGGGUAUAGGGGCGAAAGACUAAUCGAACCAUCUAGUAGCUGGUUCCCUCCGAAGUUUCCCUCAGGAUAGCUGGAGCUCGUGUACAAGUUUUAUCAGGUAAAGCGAAUGAUUAGAGGCAUCGGGGGUGUAACACCCUCGACCUAUUCUCAAACUUUAAAUAGGUAAGCCGCCGGGGUUGCUUGGUUGAACCCCGGCACAGAAUGAGAGCUCCAAGUGGGCCAU